rnacentral:lncRNA from 1 species
AUUAAUUUAUCAAGUUCUGUACGUAAUACAAUUAUUUAAUAUAUUGUGUACUCUUUAUAAUCAUAACUUAAUAUUUUAAUAUAAUCUUCUCACCAAUAUCAGAGUCAUCAAGUUCAAACACAACGAAGCGUAAACGUGGACGGCCGCUAGGAGUACGAAACAAAGUAAAAGGUUUGUACAAAAUUUAAACACUCAAUUCAUCAAUGUUCUAUAUAAUUUACUUAUUAAAACCCCAAACAUAAUAGCGACAUGUCUCGACUACUUGGUCCAACUUUUAUGAUUUCAUCUAUUUAUUGUUAUUCUUCCCGAACAGCUCCAGCUGCAGGAAUGAUGCCACAACAUUUUGCCCCACAAUACUUUGACUGUGAGUUAUCCAGCUAUAUCACACAAAAAAACAAAUUCUAUAUUAAUAUAUUUAUGAUGGUUUGUGAUUAUGCUAAGUUGACACAAAUAUUUUACUAACAAUGCUUUUAUGGGUAAACAUUUUACCCUCUAUAGGUGGCUGCGACAUUUGCGCGUUAUACGGUACAAGAUUCAAAAUGAUAACAUUUGCCUUUUUGUUAAAUAUACCAUCUCAUUAUUAACACAUAAUUUAAAUGUGAAUACAUGCAGUGGCAAGAACAAAUGCCCGUGCCAUGCGAAGGGCAAUAUUACUAUCGAAACGUACAUCAAGAAGGAUAGAAGGUAACCAUAAAAUAAUACAACUACAACUUCACAAUAAAAUAAAUAAAUUAUGUGGAGUAACCAACAACAAGUUUUUUUAAUAGGACCCAGCGCAGCUACGCCCGCACGAAAUCAUCGAAUC